CAGGGAGACAACAAAAUGUUAAAUAUUAAUUUUGUCACCUUAGGUCGAUCGGUAUCUCAGGUUCUUAAUUACUUUAAGAAUUUCAUUUCCUAAGUUUUUUCUAGGUCACACCCAUUACUUUCCCUGGGCCAUUAGCUCAGGUGGUUAGAGCGCACCCCUGAUAAGGGUGAGGUCCCUGGUUCAAGUCCAGGAUGGCCCAUAUCUCUAUGUUGGGGGUAUAGCUCAGUUGGUAGAGCGCCUGCUUUGCAAGCAGGAUGUCAGCGGUUCGAGUCCGCUUACCUCCACUGAUUACCACCUCUUCCAUAAAUUUAAAGAAGGGAAUAGUUAUGAGCGUUGAUUUACUUCUGAACGAAUCUAGCUUCCUAAUAAAUACAUUAAGAUGCUGGACUCAUUGAAUUUUAUUCAUUGUUUUCAGAGAACCUUGACAACUGCAUAGAUUAUUUUUAAAGACAAUAAGCAUCUUUAAUGAUGCAGAUUUAUUAUUUGUGCUAAUGCAUUAAUAACAAUUCUAUUGAGCUGAUGCUUCAAUUAUUUGAAGUUAUU
rnacentral:tRNA from 2 species